GUCUACCGCCAUGUCGCCCUGAACGUGCCCGAUCCCGUCUGAUCUCGGAAGCUAAGCAGGGUCGGGCCUGGUUCGUACUUGGAUGGGAGACCACGGAGGAAGACCGGGUGCUGUGGGCG
rnacentral:rRNA from 1 species